rnacentral:rRNA from 1 species
UACGUAGGUGGCGAGCGUUGUCCGGAUUUACUGGGCGUAAAGGGUGCGUAGGCGGCUAUUUAAGUGAGAUGUGAAAUACCCGAGCUUAACUUGGGUGCUGCAUUUCAAACUGGAUAUCUAGAGUGUGGGAGAGGAGAAUGGAAUUCCUAGUGUAGCGGUGAAAUGCGUAGAGAUUAGGAAGAACACCAGUGGCGAAGGCGAUUCUCUGGACCAUAACUGACGCUGAGGCAUGAAAGCGUGGGUAGCAAACAGG